AAAGAAAUACAAUGUGUUAAAAUAAGGGUUAGUGCAUGUUAAUGGGUAUCUGUGCAUUUGUUUGCUUUUGAUAGCUUGAUUCCAUAAAGGUUGACUCAAAAGUCUUUAAUUCAGCUAAACACCAAGAAGUGCUUUCUGUGUCUAGAAUGGCAGACUCCCCAGAUGAAAACAAACACGAGGUUCUGUGCGUGCUGGAGCUGGCUAGUCAUGCUUCAGUGGUGACGGAGUGUCAGAGUUGCAAAAAUAAAAGCAGGAGUGCUUACGGCAUUGCUUUUUAUACCCACUGCCCUCGGAGUGAUGUUUCCAUCAAGAAAAAGGAUGCUUAUGAAAGAGAGCCCUAACUGCAAUCCUACCCACUUAAGACUGGUUAAUUUUUAAGAAACAGUAAGAAUGAGUUAGAUACGAACAAUCGACAGCACAAACAAAUGAACAGAAUUUGAUGAGAACGUCUGGCCUGCCAUCAACAUAUGCAGAAUUCUCAAAGAUUUGAAGCUGGAAACAAGACAUAUGGCCCUUAUUUGAAUUCACUGAGGACUAUGGGAAGACUCCCCACCCCAACCCAGCUGUAUUUUACAAUCAACUUCUGAAAAAGCCAGAAAAAUCCUUCAGAAAUAUAGUUUGAUUUGUGGCUCAUGACCCCAUUCGGCUAGGCUCUUGGCAUUAAAGAAUAUGUUUCAAAGUUGUCAAAGCA